ACUUUCGCAAAAUCGAAAGCCAGCCGUGGAAAGCUGAAUAAACCAGAGGCGAACAGCACGCCAACCCGUGCUUUUU
rnacentral:sRNA from 1 species